GUGUGUCCAAGGAAAGGGUCUUCUGCCACUGCUUUUUACCUCUCCGCCCCCUCCCCUGGCCCAGUUCCUCCGAACCCUAUUUCCUAAUUUCUCUUCCUUGCCUCAAGACGCAGCGCCUGGCAGAGCCUCUCGUGCCACCUCCUGACAGUCCCGGGAAGAUUCGGAGCCUCUAGCCUUGGGAGCUGGACGCGUGUGCCACUGCAGGAACGCGGACCAGCGGGAGCUACGCGGGAGCCAGGGAAAGACGCUGGACUCAUGGAGGUUUGACCUGGGGGCUCCCGUACAAGCCUUCAAUAAUUUUCAGCCGUGAAGCCCAGAGCCAAAUACAUGUUUAAAAAAAAAAAUCCCUCCCUCCUCUUGAUUAGUCCUCUCUGUUUUCAACUCUGCAUGUGGAAAAGGUCUUGGGAGCCUGGCUCUGUGGCAAAGUUGCAGCUUCUCUCAGAGGACCCAGAAGCUCACACCCCCUAGUUCUGGACUAGACUCUGGGUUUGCUUUGCCUUUGAUGCACGAGGUUCGCCCUGCAGCUUUUUCCUCUUUUUUUUCCCCCCUCUCUUGCCUGCAGCUGGCUAGAGCAGCCUUAACAUCUACUAAGGUCCCUGCUACCCACCCCCAGCACCCAGUUCUUUCUCUCUGAUCCUUAGCUCACGUGGACUUGCUGGAGUGAGCAGCAACCAAGACUUCGGAGUUGGAAUCCCUUGGUCAAUUUCCUGGAAGACAGCACUAAUAAGAUAGAGGAUCCUCCCAGCAUUGCACUAACAGGGCUCCCCUCCCCCUUUCUUGUAGAUCCCUGCAGCUGAACCCACCCCUAGGAGCUCAGGGCAUAUCAGCUUUUUCAGUCUCUGGGACUAGAAGUCCCAGGGAAAUUCACAGGCAGGGAUUCUUUUCAAGGGAGUAGAACCCCUGCCAAGGCUCGCUUUGCAGAGAUCAAGAGGAGCAGGCAUCUCGCGUAUCCCCGAGAGAGAGCCGCGGUCUUUCAUUUCUUCUUUGGAUCCGCAGCCUGCUCCUGGCGCAGAGAAGUUUGCAGCCCCUACAAGUCCCUACAACUUCCCAAGAUGAACCAAACCGCUGGAGCGUCCAAUCACGUCAGGUGUCCCCCGGGGAAAGGCCACAAGUUUUUUUUAGGUAUUACCCUCCUUCCCCACACCUGGUUGAGCCUUCUUGGUAAAAGAGAAAAACAGUUAACCAAGUUGAGAGAGUGA
ensembl:lncRNA